CCUACGGGGGGCUGCAGUGGGGAAUAUUGGACAAUGGGGGGAACCCUGAUCCAGCCAUGCCGCGUGUGUGAAGAAGGCCCUCGGGUUGUAAAGCACUUUCAGUGAGGAAGAACGCCUGGUGGUUAAUACCCAUCAGGAAAGACAUCACUCACAGAAGAAGCACCGGCUAACUCCGUGCCAGCAGCCGCGGUAAUACGGAGGGUGCGAGCGUUAAUCGGAAUUACUGGGCGUAAAGCGCGCGUAGGUGGCUUGAUAAGCCGGUUGUGAAAGCCCCGGGCUCAACCUGGGAACGGCAUCCGGGACUUAGAGGAGAGCGGGAAGGAGAGGACGAGGGAUCUCACGGGGGAGCGGGGAAAUGCGUAUACAUCGGGAGGAAGAGCAGCGGCGAAGGCGGCAUUCAGGACUGAAAGUCACACUGAGGUUCGAAUGAGUGAGUACAACACCGGCCUAGCGACACUUGUACGC
rnacentral:rRNA from 1 species